rnacentral:lncRNA from 1 species
UGUGCCCCAGGAACACUUAACUUACUCCUGGGUGAUUAAGAUGUCCAGAAGAGAACUCAAUAUAACAGAUUUUCGUCCUUAAAUUGAAAAGUCUAAGAAAUUAAGUACCUGUUCCCAGUCUCUUGAAAUCUGCAUUCUCACGGAAUGUGACUGACAGCAAUGGACUGUACCUGUUGUAUCUGUGCACGUGCAAUGUUUAAAAUACGUUUUUAACUUUACAAAAGCAACAGAUUAUAGUCUGCUAAUAAAAUGAAACAACUCUACUAUUUAAAUUGUACUGUCAAGUUCGUGAGGGUGCUCUAAUGUGCAAACUUUUCACAGCACCUUAAAUUGGCAGAAAGAGGGCCUUAAAAACCCGAAUUACCAUGAAAUACAUUCCAAAACAAAGCCUGGGGGUUUGGGAAAGGACUAGAAAGGUGGGAAAACGUGACUAAAGAUCAAAAAGAACUGAGUGCUACGAAGUAAAAAUGGAUCUUUAAGAUUUAAAGACACUUAUUUUCAACCACAUUUUGAAAGUAGAAUAUUGGUAACUGUUGUCAAAGAAACAGCGAAGCUGAGUUUCCUGAGAUUUAAAAAAAAAAAAAAAAUACUGCAAAUUCAAGUGGGUGAAAUGGAGCAAAGUUUGGUCUGAACGUAGGUGAACCGACCCUACCAAGAAACUUCAACGAGGGUAAGGGUGGAACGAUUGCAACUUUUAACCUAUACUUACGAAGCAGCGGUUGAUAAAUCAUCCCGCAGGGUAAUUUGCCAACUGCUUUAAAAAAAAAAAAGUUUGUCCCCUCUUCUCUAGGGGGGAGGAACCAGACAAAAAACCUCCCAGGCAUCGCCCACAACCAAGCCAGACCGUGCAGACGUGCGUGGUUGCAGCUCAAGGGAAGACUGGCUCCGAGUUCACCCGGAAAGCAUCCGAAUCGAGCCCUGCUGGUUUCAUUGGCUUAGCCCAGAGGAAAACCCCAAGCUCGAGCCGGGAGCCCCAGCCUACCUGGCUCCUUUCUUCACAUUCCCACCCCUCGCCACGUGCCAUGCCUAGCAUUCCACGCGACCCGAUCCGACUUAUAUUAAGCACCCACUGUCUACACCGCAUCACGGCAAGAAGCACUGCAGGAGGAAAUGGCCCCACACCGGAAAAACCAAAAGGACAGCCACAGGGGCUAAGGACGAACCCAGGAGAGGGAGACUCCAGCUGGGUCCCCUGUGGCGUUUCUCCUAACGUCCGGCUAAGAUUGGGCGGAACCUUACACUUCUGA